rnacentral:lncRNA from 1 species
GGCUAUCCGAUCAUUCGACUCUUUGGUCUCCCAUUAUUUUCUUGUCUCCGGACUCUUUAACAAAAGAGGCCAUUUUCAAGUUAAAAAAUCAAGACAAAAGUCGAAGAAGUGAAAAAAUCAAGACAAAAACCUAAAGAGAGGGGAUAAAGAGGUUUAACCUUCGAAAAUACCGACGAUGAUGAAGGACCGAUGAUGAUGAAGAC